GUUCAGUUGAAGGGAUGGCCUGGAAUGGCAUUCUUCCGAGCGAAUAUUCUGCCCAGAUGCGGAAUGAAGUCAUACCCCGAAAACGGCCGGACCACGCGGAACGGCUGCCUCCCUCGCACUCGUCCUUAGCCCCGCAGCAGCUCGACGGAAGGACUCCAAGCAGCGGGUGCUCGACGGCCGGACUCGAACUGUGAAGAUGGUCAUGAAGAUGAACACAAGAAAAAAGAUGGUUAGGGGAGCUGCUGUUUUUGUUGCACUAGCUGCAAUGGCUGCUGUUUUUGAUGCUUUUGGGAAUUUCUUAUGUGAACUAUAUGGUUGUAUGUGCAACUUGUUGAAAAUUAUGUUCUGUGCUGUCAUUCAUGUGUUAUAAACUUGUCAAUAUCUAUUGUUAUGUUGUUUUUAAUCAAAUUACAAACGAAA